rnacentral:tRNA from 1 species
AGCCCCGCGGUGAGAGCACAUCGAAAUGCAAGUUCGAAGAAGCACCAGAAAGGUGCCUGGGCUU